UGGGGGAUAUUGCACAAUGGGCGAAAGCCUGAUGCAGCGACGCCGCGUGGGGGAUGAAGGCUUUCGGGUUGUAAACCUCUUUCGCUAUCGAACAAGGCCCGCUUAGGGUGGGUUGAGGGUAGGUGGAGAAGAAGCGCCGGCUAACUACGUGCCAGCAGCCGCGGUAAUACGUAGGGCGCGAGCGUUGUCCGGAAUUAUUGGGCGUAAAGGGCUUGUAGGCGGCUUGUUGCGCCUGCUGUGAAAACGCGGGGCUUAACUUCGCGCGUGCAGUGGGUACGGGCAGGCUUGAGUGUGGUAGGGGUGACUGGAAUUCCAGGUGUAGCGGUGGAAUGCGCAGAUAUCGGGAGGAACACCGAUGGCGAAGGCAGGUCACUGGGCCAGUACUGACGAUGAGGAGCGAAAGCAUGGGUAGCGAACAGG
rnacentral:rRNA from 1 species